rnacentral:rRNA from 1 species
GAUGAACGCUGGCGGCGUGCCUAAUACAUGCAAGUCGAGCGAACGGACGAGAAGCUUGCUUCUCUGAUGUUAGCGGCGGACGGGUGAGUAACACGUGGAUAACCUACCUAUAAGACUGGGAUAACUUCGGGAAACCGGAGCUAAUACCGGAUAAUAUUUUGAACCGCAUGGUUCAAAAGUGAAAGACGGUCUUGCUGUCACUUAUAGAUGGAUCCGCGCUGCAUUAGCUAGUUGGUAAGGUAACGGCUUACCAAGGCAACGAUGCAUAGCCGACCUGAGAGGGGGAAGCGCCACAGUGAAACUGAAACGCGGCCCAGACUCCGAGGGGAGGCAGAAGUAGGGACUCUUCCGAAAUGGGGGAAAGCGUGAAGGAGAAACGCCGGGGGGGGGAUGAAGUGCUUCGGGCGGUAAAACUUUUUUAUUGGGGAAAAACAAUUUUGUAGGUAACUGGGCCCAUUUGAACGGAACCGAUAAAGAAGGCCCGGGCUAACAAGGG